GGAAUCGCUGUGCAACAGUGAUCAGCUCCAAGGCUGAGUCCCAGCUCUCCACUGAUAUUCCCUACCCAUUGCCCAAACUAGCCAAGUCUGCCAUUUUUUUGGUGGCCCAGGUAGUUGGAGAGGUUGCCAUAUUUGCAGAACUCAACAAUAACCAUGAGUGGACCUGGUGAGAAGACACCAAGGGUCAGGGCAAGAGGUGCAGGGACCCAGGGCAAAGGACAACACAAUCUGUGCCCAACAGAUUUUUCCUUGUGAUAGUUGUGCAGCGAAAAAGAUCACUUGAGGCUUACAUA